AAGCUCGUAGUUGAAUUUCGGGGUUAGCAGGUUGGUCGUGCCACUGGUAUGUACUGGCCUUGCUGAUUCCUCCCUCUUGAUGAGCCGUAAUGCCAUUAAUUUGGUGUUGCGAGGAAUCAGGACUGUUACUUUGAAAAAAUUAGAGUGUUUAAAGCAGGCAAGCGCUUGAAUACAUUAGCAUGGUAUAAUGAAAUAGGACGUUUGAUCUUAUUUUGUUGGUUUCUAGGAUUGACGUAAUGAUUAAUAGGGAUAGUUGGGGGCAUUAGUAUUCAAUUGUCAGAGGUGAAAUUCUUGGAUUUAUUGAAGACUAACUACUGCGAAAGCAUUUGCCAAGGAUGUUUUCAUUAAUCAAGAACGAAAGUUAGGGGAUCGAAGACGAUCAGAUACCGUCGUAGUCUUAACCAUAAACUAUGCCGACUAGGGAUCGGAUGAUGUUAAUUUUUUAAUGACUCAUUCGGCGCCUUACGGGAAACCAAAGUGUUUGGGUUCCGGGGGGAGUAUGGUCGCAAGGCUGAAACUUAAAGGAAUUGACGGAAGGGCACCACCAGGGGUGGAGCCUGCGGCUUAAUUUGACUCAACACGGGGAAA
rnacentral:rRNA from 1 species